ACAGAAAAGGAUGUGAGAAAGAUUUCUCACCUGUAAUAUCAAAAAAGUUAGAGCCUGCUCAUUUGGACAAUAGCACCAGGUUUGCACAGGCUUUAACCACCAGACCAUAAACACGGCUCUGUGAACAGGUGCUGUGGGCUGGAGACAGCUUUGAACAUCAGAAACAAAAGGAAGAGAAGAAACCUUUGGAAGCUUCAUCUGUGGUCUGAAAGCCAAAGCUCUGCCUUUCUUGCUUUCUGCCUCAUCAGUCAUGAAGAUUUUGCAGGGAGAGCUGAGUUGAUGCCAGUGCUGGUAAGCCAAAAUUGAAAGCAGCUCCCUUUUCUAGGUCUCCAUUAG